rnacentral:rRNA from 1 species
UACGGAGGGGGCUAGCGUUGUUCGGAAUUACUGGGCGUAAAGCGCACGUAGGCGGAUUGGAAAGUCGGGGGUGAAAUCCCGGGGCUCAACCCCGGAACUGCCUUCAAAACUCCCAGUCUGGAGGUCGAGAGAGGUGAGUGGAAUUCCGAGUGUAGAGGUGAAAUUCGUAGAUAUUCGGAGGAACACCAGUGGCGAAGGCGGCUCACUGGCUCGAUACUGACGCUGAGGUGCGAAAGCGUGGGGAGCAAACAGG